UCUUCGGUGAUGAUUUACACAGUGACUUUCGUUCUUCUGAGACUGCUGAAGCCAGCAUUUCUGUCCUGAGAAGA
rnacentral:snoRNA from 1 species